rnacentral:misc_RNA from 1 species
UCGUAACAAGGUUUCCGUAGGUGAACCUGCGGAAGGAUCAUUACUGAUUUGCUUAAUUGCACCACAUGUGUUUUUUAUUGAACAAAUUUCUUUGGUGGCGGGAGCAAUCCUACCGCCAGAGGUUAUAACUAAACCAAACUUUUUAUUUACAGUCAAACUUGAUUUAUUAUUACAAUAGUCAAAACUUUCAACAACGGAUCUCUUGGUUCUCGCAUCGAUGAAGAACGCAGCGAAAUGCGAUACGUAAUAUGAAUUGCAGAUAUUCGUGAAUCAUCGAAUCUUUGAACGCACAUUGCGCCCUUUGGUAUUCCAAAGGGCAUGCCUGUUUGAGCGUCAUUUCUCCCUCAAACCCCCGGGUUUGGUGUUGAGCAAUACGCUAGGUUUGUUUGAAAGAAUUUAACGUGGAAACUUAUUUUAAGCGACUUAGGUUUAUCCAAAACGCUUAUUUUGCUAGUGGCCACCACAAUUUAUUUCAUAACUUUGACCUCAAAUCAGGUAGGACUACCCGCUGAACUUAAGCAUAUC